rnacentral:rRNA from 1 species
UACGGGGGGGGCAAGCGUUGUUCGGAAUUACUGGGCGUAAAGGGUUUGUAGGUGGCUUGUUAAGUCAGACGUGAAAUCCCUCAGCUUAACUGGGGAACUGCGUCUGAUACUGGCGAGCUUGAGUGCAGGAGAGGAACGCGGAAUUUCAGGUGUAGCGGUGAAAUGCGUAGAUAUCUGGAGGAACACCGGUGGCGAAGGCGGCGUUCUGGACUGCAACUGACACUGAGAAACGAAAGCCAGGGUAGCAAACGGG